UACGUAGGAGGCUAGCGUUGUCCGGAUUUAUUGGGCGUAAAGAGCGUGUAGGCGGCCAUGUAGGUCCGGUGUGAAAACUCGAGGCUUAACCUCGAGAUGUCAUCGGAAACCAUUUGGCUAGAGUCCGGAAGAGGAGAGUGGAAUUCCUGGUGUAGCGGUGAAAUGCGCAGAUAUCAGGAAGAACACCAAUGGCGAAAGCAGCUCUCUGGGACGGUACUGACGCUGAGACGCGAAAGCGUGGGGAGCGAACAGG
rnacentral:rRNA from 1 species